rnacentral:rRNA from 1 species
AGUGAACGCUGGCGGUAGGCCUAACACAUGCAAGUCGAACGGCAGCACAGUAAGAGCUUGCCCUUACGGGUGGCGAGUGGCGGACGGGUGAGGCAUACAUCGGAAUCUACUUUUUCGGGGGGGAUAACGUAGGGAAACUUACGCUAAUACCGCAUACGACCUACGGGUGAAAGCAGGGGAUAUUCGGACCUUGCGCGAUUGAAUGAGCCGAUGUCGGAUUAGCUAGGUGGCGGGGUAAAGGAACACCAAGGCGACGAUACGUAGCUGAGCUGAGAGGAUGAUCAGCCACACUGUAACUGAGACACGGUCCACACUCCUACGGGAGGCAGCAGUGUGGAAUAUUGGACAAUGGGCGCAAGCCUGAUCCAGCCAUACCGCGUGUGUGAAGUAGGCCUUCGGGUUUUAUAGCCCUUUUUUUGGGAAAGAAAAGCUGCAGGUUAAUACCUCGCUGUUCUGACGGUACCCAAAGAAUAAGCACCGCCUAACUUCGUG